rnacentral:rRNA from 1 species
UACGUAGGUGGCAAGCGUUGUCCGGAUUUAUUGGGUUUAAAGGGUGCGUAGGCGGCCCCUGUAAGUCAGUGCUGAAAUAUCCCGGCUUAACCGGGAGGGUGGCAUUGAUACUGCAGGGCUUGAAUGAAGUUGAAGUGGGCGGAAUUGACGGUGUAGCGGUGAAAUGCUUAGAUAUCGUCAAGAACACCGAUAGUGAAGACAGCUCACUA